rnacentral:lncRNA from 1 species
CUGGAUUUCUGGAUGCGGCUGUUUUCAAAGCGCAGGGUAUUUUCAGCAGGAUCUCACCAUAGUGGGCCCCACCAUGCCCAGGCUGAGAGCUCUGCCUGCUCUGUUAGUGAGGAGGCUGGAGUGCAGUGGCGCCAUCAUAGCUCACUGCAGCCUCCACACCCCCCACCCUCCUCACCCUCACUAGUAGUUGGGACUACCUACAGGCGUUGCAUCACCAUGCCCGGCUAAUUUUUUUUUAAACUUGUUUUGGAGGCGGGGUCUCACUGUGUUUCUCAGGCUGAUCUUGAACUUUUGCACUCAAGUGAUCCUAACACUUCGGCCUCCCAAAGUGCUGGGAUUAUAGGCGUGAGCCAUGUGCAGGACCUGGACCAAGUCUUGAUUCUCUCUGGUUCCUCCCAACUGAAACAUCAGGAUGCCGCCCCGGGUGUCCAUGGGGCUGGGGAAGUUGCUGAGCAACCUUGCCCUGCGAGAGCGAAGGCGGGCGUGUCCCUCGGGGGCGUACCCCGAGUGGGCAGCAGGGCCAGCCCGCGCGUCCCUCAGGGUCAAUGCUGGGGCCCUGAGGGUGAGGUCAGCUGUGAGGUGAGGUCUGGUGGCCGAGGGGAGGUGCCCAGCGUGCGCGUCCGCAUCCGGCGGGCGACAGAGCAGCCCCGGAACAGGAGCUUCCCG